CCUUUGCCCUAGCAACAUCUUCAUUUCCAUGAUGGAAAGCAUACUUUUUGCGAACAGGGGCUGCUAACAGGGAGUUUCACAAGGGAGUUCUCCAGGUGAAGGAGGAGCAAAUACAGGACCCUUGGGUAACUGAAAUUGGGAUUUUUUUUCUGCUGCUCCCACUGGAGUCCCUGAGAACAGAAUCAAAUCCAAAUCCACGAUCUACCAUUUCUAUUGUGUGCAAAGGGUACAUCUAUACUACCCGCCGGAUCAGGGAUUGACUUAUCACAUCUCGUCUAGACACAAUAAAUUGAUCCCUGAAUCGACGCCUGUACUCUACCUUGUCAGGAGCAGUAAGAGGAGUCAACAGGGGAGCCGCGGUGGUCGAUUCGCCGCCGUAAGGACA